UACAGCUCUCAUAAUCUAAUCCUUUCUCCUCUGAAUAUUUUUGCAUUGUCUCACACAUGAGCUUUGGGGAGACACCUCAUAAGCCAAACCAUAACACUCUGUCAAAAGAAAAAAAAAUCAUCAGAGACCCUUAGGACAGUGUUGUCUCAGAUAACAUAUUCUGUUGGACACAGUUCCUUGGUGGGAAGCCUGCAUGACCCCAGCCUUCACCAUUUCUCCGUCCAAUCCUCCUUUCGAUUUAGGAUCAGUAAAGGCAUCCCACUGUUACUAGUCCAUGGAUAACUCUCUGUCCUUUUGGUUCCUGUAACCCUGUACAAUGCCUCCUGCUUUCAUUCAGUCUGACUUUGUGGAGUCUACCAUCUAUUUUUUUUUUAUUUUUUUGGCCUGGAUCCUGAUUAAUGAGGAUCUUCUCUCAUCCCCACCUCAUUCUUCCUUCAGGAGUCACUGUAAGUAAGAACUUCCAGUUGCCUCUCAGUAUUCAUUCUGCACUUUGUCCUCAGUGACAGAACUGUGGGCCAUGUGGUUUUGGGGAAAAAAAA
rnacentral:lncRNA from 1 species